GCUAGAUCCUGAGGGGUAUCAUUCGUUGUGUUCGUACGCCUCGGCGGCGGUGGCUAUGAAUGUAGUGCCCUGGUCAGCGCAUGAAGACAUCAAUUGUUCUCAGUCGUCGGUUUCGCGCUGUCGUAGGUGGACGUGUGUGUGUUGUGCUUCUUGUUCCAUGCUAAUUACCACAUGGAGGUGGAACCCCUGUAGCUGACCAGAAAGGCCAGGACUGUCAGAUGCCAUAUAUGAAUUGGGUAUGGGAUAGAGAGAGAGUUCAAGGUCUUCAAACAGAGCUGACCCGGCGGAAGGCCUCUGGUGGCAUACUGUAAUCAAGUGUGCCACUCCCACAGGAUUAUUGCAUUGGCCUUUUGCAUUCAUGCCUGAAUGCUGUCCAGGGCAUCUCACAGGCACCAGCUGCGUGACGAUGCCCCACCCCACGGAUUGUCUUAUGCCAACAGCAUGCUCCCGUAGGGAGCUAUGUACACUAGAAGAUGGACUGUGGACAUGCUAAGGAAUUCUUCAGUAGCUUCAUGGUGCACGGGAGAAGAAACAGCAGACCUGGACGAAGUAAACAAACGGCCCUUAUCAGGGCCACCAUAUGUCCGCCACAAUGGCUAGCGUUCUGCUGAUAGAACAAACCCUGAUAGUGAUAGGAGAUCACUGAACUAACCAUAACUCAAGCACGAUGGCUACAACAGUGCUGAUAGAAAGCAAUCAUUGCAGUUGCAAAUGCCAUACAUUUCGUUAAGCACUAUAUUUUUGAUGACAGUAAUAUUUAGAGUUGAAGGAGUCAUGUUCUGCCACUUUUUGGAUGGUCAAAGUAUGCAUCACAGAACAUAUUGCUAAGGUGAACAUUAUGUGGAACCGACUAUAACUCCUGUUAUUCAUUCGCACAGAAAAUAUGAAGCAGAAAAUGUCGAGGUUGUUGCGAGAGACCUGUACUAUGUCUUUUGCAAAAGCUAUCACCGUUUCUCGACAAAAGUGACGUGGAGAAUGUACUUGAUGCCUCCAUUUUUCCCCUUUCUCUCCGUACUAUAAAGGUAGUUCUUUUUGUGUAGUCCAAUAAUACGAGAAUUAGAAAAAAGGUCUUUGGGUGUACUUGACAUAAUUGUAUGCCAGUCUAUAUCAUUGAACCCUCGUGGCACUGAGGACAAAACUUUACGAGACAGUAUAUUUGGGUCCGAAGAACGCCAUUGGAGCCACAGGGCACAUUGACUUUAGACCACAUCAUGGAGGGCCACAAGGAAAAGAAAUUACUGUAGUUACCGUAAAACUUUGGUAUAUCAUACAUAACAUUGUACACAAAAACAGGACCGGCGGCCUUUCAAGUCGAGUGCUGAAAGUAUGAAAAACUAUUCGACCUUCACAAAGGUUUAGGAGAAUGUUCAGGAGCACUCCAAAUUAUCCAUUUACUUGCUGCCUUAGCUCGCAGUUGGAAAAAUAAGUAUGGAAAAUCAAAGAGAAAGAGCUAGCUGGCAUAUUCACAGUGGGUCAUGGCUUCGGGUUUGCUAUGUUGUAUUUAAUGAAAAGUGCAGAAAUUUGGGCCAGUUGGUACAUAACUGCAAAAAGGAAUAAGAGCAUACAGACGGGACAAUGGAGAGACAGAGCUGCUUACAACUAAACUAUAAUGAUAGGAAAUCCGACGCAGUCAUGUGCGCAGGUGCAUUGCUAUCCCACCAUGUCAAAACGAGUACAGGGCUAGACAAAUGUUAGAGAACAUGCUCCGGCGCAUUCCUUCCUUAGUGUGACAGUGAAUGGGACCGUACAGACUUAGACAUGUGCGUAUAGGUAGCCCAGUCACCUGUAUGCAAGCCCGUACGAUACCAUUCGCUGCCAGCUUGUCACUCAGAGGGAGGAGUGCGCCAGAGUAUGUUCCAUAAACUUUUGUCCAGCACUGUAGAAUGGGCUAGUUGGUAUGACAUCUUGUGGCAGCUGUGGCAGACAAGGACAACACCACUCCACAAUCAACUGGUUUAUUUCUGGAAAAACAGAAAAGGAAGGUUGAACGUUGGGAUUGGGAGUUUUGAGACGACCUGAUUAAAAAGGAACUUUACACCUAGUGGUGAUCUUUUCCUGCUAUCCUUGUCUGCCAUAGCUCCGUAGUCAAGAAGUCUGUACAAGUAUGUCAGACAAGACCCUCAAAAUGACAGUUUUAGGCAUGUGCAAACAAAACCACCCUAGUGAUAAGGGGUGACACAAGUGAAAAAAAUUCCUAUGAUUUGAAUAAAAAUUCAAGUUCCUUAU